UCCUACGGGAGGCAGCAGUGGGGGAUAUUGCACAAUGGAGGAAACUCUGAUGCAGCAACGCCGCGUGAGGGAAGACGGUUUUCGGAUUGUAAAACUCUGUUGUUAGAGAAGAACAAGGAUGAGAGUAACUGUUCAUCCCUUGACGGUAUCUAACCAGAAAGCCACGGCUAACUACGUGCCAGCAGCCGCGGUA
rnacentral:rRNA from 1 species